rnacentral:rRNA from 1 species
UACAGAGGUCUCAAGCGUUGUUCGGAUUUCAUUUGGGCGUAAAGGGUGCGUAGGUGGCGCCGUAAGUCAGGUGUGAAAUUUCGGAGCUUAACUCCGAAACUGCAUUUUGAUACUGCGGUGCUUGAGGACUGGAGAGGAGACUGGAAUUUUACGGGUGUAGCAGUGAAAUGCGUAGAGAUCGUAAGGAAGACCAGUGGCGAAGGCGGGUCUCUGGACAGUUCCUGACACUGAG